UACGGGGGGGGGCAAGCGUUGUUCGGAAUUACUGGGCGUAAAGGGCUCGUAGGUGGCCAACUAAGUCAGACGUGAAAUCCCUCGGCUUAACCGGGGAACUGCGUCUGAUACUGGAUGGCUUGAGGUUGGGAGAGGGAUGCGGAAUUCCAGGUGUAGCGGUGAAAUGCGUAGAUAUCUGGAGGAACACCGGUGGCGAAGGCGGCAUCCUGGACCGACACUGACGCUGAGGAGCGAAAGCCAGGGGAGCAAACGGG
rnacentral:rRNA from 1 species